GUACUUGCUUCAGCAGCACAUAUACUAAAAUGGAGCAAUACAGAGAAGAUUAGUAGGGCCCCUGGGCAAGGAUGACAAGCAAAUACACAAAGCAUUCCAUAGUUUU